rnacentral:tRNA from 1 species
UCUAAUAUGGCAGAUUAGUGCAAUGAAUUUAAGAUUCAUAUAUAAAAUAUCAUUUUUAUUAGAA